AUUUUGACUAAGACGAGUAAACUGAAGGACUAGAGCUCAUUGGAGAUGUCUGCUGUCGAGAGAAGAGGAGCUCCAGAGCCUCACUGGGAAAACAGUCCUUCCAGAAAUCAGGAUUUCAAGCGUCAUCGGAGGCUUCUGGCUCGGCCCAGGCAUCCUGUCAGCACGAGUACCUGGCCGCCUGACGGCUCCCAGUCUGCACACCACGCGCACAGGAGACCCAUUUAUGUGUCUUUUGUCAGCAAGGCCAUCUUGUGGGAUAGAGGACUCUGCCACCACACUGCUCACGAUCGUCCAAAUCACCGUCCCUUAUUGUGUCCACGGUUCCUGUCUCACAUGAAGGUCCGUCCCGAGGACCUCAGACCUCCUUGUUUCCUGAGCUCCAAGUCCAGACUGCAGCCUCCAUCUCAGGGGAAGACGACCUAUACACACACUUUCGCUGCCCCAAAGACACAAACGCUGGAGGGUGACUUCAAUGCUGACAGAAGAAGAAGACAUUUUGUGCGGAAUGAGAGUUUGAUCGCAGGGAGGCGCUCUGCUGUUGUUGUUCCCUGUCUUCCAUCUCCUGCUACUCCACCAUCAUCCACCAUUAAUCCAACACCUCCCCACCAAAACACCCUUCACCCCGACUCUGAAGGACAACAAAGCAAGCCGAGCUCUGUGCCAGCAUCUCCCUCCGACCCUCGUCCUGCUCCAGAGGAAAAAUGUGAAGUUCAGGAGAGCGAGCGACAGCCUGCUGUGGUGUCUAUCACAGAGUCCGACUGGAGGCUGCAUCUCGGGCCUGCUGGACCAGAGCGCUCGCCAUCGCCAGCCUCCACGGCCUCACAUGGUUCUCUCUCAGAUUUUAGUCGUCCACCUUCCAGCUUGUUCAGCCGGAGCACAGACCUCGCCAGUGGCAGGAGCAGUGUCCUGUCCAGUAAAACCUUGAGUAAAACUUAUUGAUUGUUAUUCAGUUAAUCAAUGAAUCAUCUGAAAAUGUCAAUCACAAGUACCCAGAGCUCAAUAUGAUAUCUUCAUAUUGCUUUUCUAUUCAGUGUUAUAAAGAUAUGAUAUAUAACAGAGAGAAGCCGCAAAUCCUCACAUUUCAGAAACAAGAACCACAUAAUAUUUGACAUUUUGGCUUCAUAAUCUGUCAAUAAUUGGUUAAUGAACCAAUAAUUUGAGAAGUAAUCUCUUUUAAAUGCACCCUUGAAGUUAUUCAGCAAGGAUGAAGGAUCAAUGGAGAGAAAAUUCAACAAAAUACGGUGUAAAAUCACACAUUGUAGAGUUAUUAAUAAAUACAUACUUGUAUGCGUGGAAAUUUUAUCACUUUAUUAGUUUGUUAAUGUAUGCUGGAAAUAGUAAAAAGUAUUUCUCGAACCUUAAAUCGUAACACCUCACUUUAAAUUCCCCUAUUUAGCAUUUGUAAGCAGUAUAUAAAGAUUUAUUAGAUGGUUUACAACACAUUAUGUAGUUAUAAGCAGAUAUAAGUGUUUGUUAAGUGUUUGUCAACAACUAUAACUCGUCCUGUGGACGCCGUUAAGUGGACGCUGGUGUAUAAACAGAUAUUACAGUAUACAUAUAUAAGAAAACUGCUGAAAGUUCAGUGCUUAAUCAGGCGAGUGUGGUUUGAUCAUAUUUGACUGAUGGUGGCGUCUCCAUGGCAACAUAAACACACAACCAUCCGAUUGUUGUCAGAUUCAGAUUUUGGUCAGUUGGGAUCGAUACUGGUAAAUGAGUGGCAUCACGACAAGAUGCAAAAUUGAGAAAAUAGUUUGUUUUUCACUUUCUACAACAAAAAAAUCUAAUUACAAGCAAAAAAAACAACUGCCAUUUUUCAUGUUUUCAGACUGAAUGUGGGCAUUUACAAGACAGGAGUGCCAAAUGUAGGAUUGCCAGUUUGCCAAUGUUGCUUUAGCCCAAGCUAAAAUGUCUUUGGAUCACUGCUUUGUUAUGACUGUCUUGGCAAAACGAGGCCUGUUAUCUGCAGAAGUCUCACUGUGAGUCCUCAUUUGUGCAGUCGAUUAAGCUACCUUCUUUUGCUCUGUUGUUUUGCAGCAGACAUCAGGGACCUAGAAGGCAGCAUUUGUUCCUCUCCACUCCGGCCAUCUCCGCCUUACCCUCCAGCAGGAUCCAACCCUCGCCGAUCAUCCGCAAAUACUGCGACCACCCCUCAACUCUACGAACCACUCUUUGGUCAAAUCAAACCCCUCUCAACUCGCCCAACGUCAGCCGUCC
ensembl:lncRNA